AUUGAACGCUGGCGGCAGGCCUAACACAUGCAAGUCGAGCGAGCGGCGGACGGGUGAGUAAUGUAUGGGGACCUGCCUGAUCGAGGGGGCUAACUACUGGAACCGGUGGCUAAUACCGCAUACUAUCGGAUGAACCCAUAUGGGAUUAGCUAGUGGGUGGGGUAAAGGCUCACCAAGGCGACGAUCUCUAGCUGGUCUGAGAGGAUGAUCAGCCACACUGGGACUGAGACACGGCCCAGACUCCUACGGGAGGCAGCAGUAGGGAAUAUUGCGCAAUGGGCGAAAGCCUGAUGCAGCCAUGCCGCGUGAAUGAAGAAGGCCUUCGGGUUGUAAAGUACUUUCGGCAGGGAGGCGUUACCCGCAGAGGAAGCACCGGCUAACUCCGUGCCAGCCGCCGCGGUAAUUC
rnacentral:rRNA from 1 species